GGGGUUGUGGCUUAGUGGUAGAGUGCAUGUCUAGCAUGUACGAGGCCCUGUGUUCGAUUCUCAGCACUGCA
rnacentral:tRNA from 1 species